GCGCACGAUUUUCUGCUCUUGGGAAUUUAAAGCAGCUUCUUAAACAGUUUCUUUAUGCAUAAAAUUUACUUAUGUCAAGCUUUUAUGCACUUGUGAGUUCAGCAGAGUGCCGAGGCAUUCAAAUUCUAACAAUGCGUUAUUUCAAUAUAGUUUUGGGGGGUUUCUGGGACACCCUGUAUGCUUCUAUAAACUAGAACAGUCGUAAUUAUAGGCAUGUGAGUUAUCAAGAAUUCUAAAUUGGGUAGCAACGGCGUAAACAACCUUAGCCAAAUUUGUCUGUUGAGGAUAAAACCUGCUUUAUAUCUUUCUCUUUAUAUCUGAAACCUUCGAUAUAUCCUAGUGAGCAUUGUCAAACAUGGGCCAAAAAUUCGGGAAAAUUUUGGGCCCGUUCCAAAGCGUGGGUCUGUUGGGGGUACCAUCCAUAGAAAUGCUAGAUAUCUAUUCUAGUAUUUCUAUGGUACUACCAUCACUACAACAACACAACAAUAAACUGUAACUCUGAUCUCAGUAACUCAACCGGUUAACCUGGAUGUACUAUCACGCUUUUGCCUGCGUAAAGAGAUUUCGGAUCAACGUGUUUAAGUAUUUUAAACUUAGCUUCGUCGGCAUAGCCAGAUUCGAUCAUUUGUUCUGUGAUAUUUCGUGAUUCUCCUUCGUCAGAUUCGAACAGAUUCACGGACAUUGUCUUGUUUAAGGAGCCACUAAAACACAGAUAAUGGACAACUU